CUCAUCUCCUUCCUUAAGAAGCCACUGCCAUUCAUCAAUUUCCAUCCUGCAGCAAGCCUCCUCGAUUGAACCAACAUUUCCUCAACACCACCAACUUCAAGGCUUUGUGGACCAAGGGGAUUAGCGCUGCUUUCCCAAGACAAGUUAUAUGUGUAUGAUCUUCAGGCUUUGCCUAUCCAGGUUGGCUGGCCGGUGCUGACGGGACGGAGCUGAGGCUAGGGUUAAUUUCCUAUGUUAGACUUCCGCUGUAGCAAUUACUCAUAUCAGUCUUUUGUUUUCUCAACUUAAGAUCUUCAUGUUAAAUUUCAAAUGAUAUACCUGACCGAGCUUAGACUCUUCACUACUAAAUUUAUGCUAAUGAAUUUCGGUUGUCAGAAGCAUGAAACAAAACUUGUGAUCCAAAGGGGACUAGCCCGACUUGUUAUCUUAUUAUUCGGGUUCAAUAA